rnacentral:rRNA from 1 species
UACGAAGGUCCCUAGCGUUGUUCGGAAUCAUUGGGCGUAAAGCGCACGUAGGUGGCUUUGCAAGUCAGGUGUGAAAGCCUGGGGCUUAACCCCAGAAGUGCACUUGAAACUGCUUAGCUUGAGUACGGGAGAGGUGAGUGGAAUUCCUGGUGUAGUGGUGAAAUACGUAGAUAUCAGGAGGAACAUCGGUGGCGAAGGCGGCUCACUGGCCCAGUACUGACACUGAGGUGCGAAAUUAUGGGGAUCAAACAGG